rnacentral:rRNA from 1 species
UACGUAGGCAGCGAGCGUUGUUCGGAGUUACUGGGCGUAAAGGGUGUGUAGGCGGUUCUCUAAGUUUGGUGUGAAAUCUCCCGGCUCAACCGGGAGGGUGCGCCGAAAACUGGGGGACUCGAGUGCGGGAUGGGAGAGUAGAAUUCCUGGUGUAGAGCGGUGAAAUGCGUAGAUAUCGAGGAGGAAUACCGGUGGUGUGAGACGGCUCUCUGGACCGC